UGCUUACCAGUGAUGGUUUUAAAAAAAAUGUCUGAACAAAUGAUCUCACUGUGAUAUCAGCAUAUUCUCUGAGGUAAGCU
ensembl:snoRNA